rnacentral:rRNA from 1 species
UACGUAGGGUGCGAGCGUUGUCCGGAAUUACUGGGCGUAAAGAGCUCGUAGGUGGUUUGUCGCGUUGUCCGUGAAAACUCACAGCUUACACUGUGGGCGUGCGGGCGAUACGGGCAGACUGGAGUACUUGCAGGGGAGACUGGAAUUCCUGGUGUAGCGGUGGAAUGCGCAGAUAUCAGGAGGAACACCGGUGGCGAAGGCGGGUCUCUGGGCAGUAACUGACGCUGGAGGAGCGAAAAGCGUGGGGAGCGAACAGGAUUAGAACCUUCCGAGUCA